rnacentral:rRNA from 1 species
UACGGAGGGUGCAAGCGUUAUCCGGAUUCACUGGGUUUAAAGGGUGCGUAGGUGGGUAUGUAAGUCAGUGGUGAAAUCCCCGAGCUUAACUUGGGAACUGCCGUUGAUACUAUAUAUCUUGAAUAUCGCGUAGGUAAGGCGGAAUAUGUCAUGUAGCGGUGAAAUGCUUAGAUAUGACAUAGAACACCAAUUGCGAAGGCAGCUUACUUCACGAUUAUUGACACUGAGGCACGAAAGCGUGGGGAGCAAACAGG